rnacentral:rRNA from 1 species
GUUUAUAAUAUAAAGUCUAACCUGCCCACUGAUAAUUUAUUAAAUGGCCGCGGUAUAUUGACUGUGCAAAGGUAGCAUAAUCAUUUGUCUCUUAAUUAGAGGCUGGAAUGAAUGGUUGAAUGAAAUAUUAACUGUCUCAAUUUUAAAAAAAUAAAAAUUUAGCUUUUAAGUUAAAAGGCUUAAAUUUAUUUAAAGGACGAGAAGACCCUAUAGAUCUUUAUAAUUAAAUUAUAUUAUAAUUUAGAAAAAUAUUUAAUAAAAUAAUAAAAAUUAUUUUAUUGGGGUGAUAGGAAAAUUAAAAUAACUUUUUUUAAAAUAUUAACAUUAAUUUAUGAUUAAUUGAUCCAUUAUUAAUGAUUAAAAGAUUAAGUUACCUUAGGGAUAACAGCGUAAUUUUUUUGAAGAGUUCAUAUCGAUAAAAAAGAUUGCGACCUCGAUGUUGAAUUAAAGUAAUUUUUAGAUGUAGCAGUUUAAAAUUUGGGUC